rnacentral:rRNA from 1 species
UGGCCAUACCAGCUUGUAAAAGACUGAUCUCGACAAAUCUUAGAAGCUAAGCAAGGGCGUACCUGGAUUAGUACUUGGCUGGUAGACUGCAGGGAAUAUCAGGUGCUACAAAAG